AAAAAAUUUUUGUUUUAAAUAAAUAAAAAUAACAAUAAAUUCUAGUUCCUCGAAAGUAACUUCCAGUGAAGUUUAAAACAUUUCCACACACUCCAAAAGAUAAGACAGUUUAUCCUUUACCUUAUGUAGAACUUCAAACACAGGGUGUCCAGUUUAAGGCAGUUCCCAGUGAGUGUGGCUUCCUGCCCACCAGUCGCCUCCUGAAAGUUCACGCGAGGACAGGAGGAGGAAGCCCCGAGGCCACCGUGGACUCAUCUCUGGCUACACCGCAGGCUCAGGUCUAAGUACCUCAGAUGUAUCACCUAAGUUAAUCCUCCCCACAAUCCCAGGAGGUUGUUAUCACCCCUGUUUCACAGAUGGGGAGGCCAAGGCUCAGAGUCAUGAGGUCAUUUGCCCAAGGUCACUCGCUUGUGCGUGGAAGAGCCCACAUUGGACUGGAACGGUGAGUGCAGAAGCAGCCCUCUGACACGCGAGGCCGUUUGCCCCCCGGGGCUGCGGAGAACACAUACGUGAUCAGACCUGCGCAUCUGCCCCACCUUCCUUAUUCCCAGUUCUGAGACCACCGUUUCCCAGGCUCACAGACCCCGUCAUCCCCGGGCAGACCCCCCAAGUCUGGGCGCUCCCUCUCUGUUUCACGCUCAGACCGUUCUCUGACCUCCCGUCUGCCCCCUCGCCAUAUUAAUCUGCUAGAACACCGAGGGGACGAUCUCACAUCCUACUCAAAAACGUUCAUUCCUUUCCUACAGAGUGGAGUUCAGGCCCGGCACUCAGGAUUCUGCCACAGACCAGCUCCCCCCUGUUGCCUCAGUAUCCCCCGGGUUCCCCAGCGCUCCGGUUCCCCUCUCUUGACGGCAGGUUUCCUCUGGGAGCGGCUCGCCCCGGUACUCCCGCGUGGCACAUACAGGCGACCUUGGCUCUGUGACCUGAGGUGACUCCAUCAACUUCUCUGCGCCUCUGUGAUUUCACCUGUGAAAAGGAGGGAUUGCCCUCUGCUCCGCUUGCCUCCUGGGCCGUCCGGAUCCAGGGGGACCUCACAUGUCGAAGAAAUAGAACAGGAAUAGCAGAAGCCUGGCUGGACGCCUCAGCCCCUGUUCCUGCUUUCAAGGCGAAUGCAUUUUGUUUGCAUACGUGUGCAUGAAGGAGAAUGAAAUAGUACAAAGUAUCAAGCAAACUCAUAAUGGGCUACCUUGGGAGGGGGCAGGGGCGGGAGGAACCAGGUUUGAGGGUGGGGCAGUUCAUUUCCCUAGAAUACAUAUUCAUAUCUUUGCAGUUAUUUUAGUCUUUUUCAAAGAUAAUUGCACAGCAUUGAAUUGCACUGCCGGAUCCGUGAGGCAGACACAGUCCUUCAGGAGGAAGGAGAGGAGCUACAGUGGUCCGAAGGAUUUUACGGACUGGGAAACUUGCCUGUGGCGACGAGGAGGACCGAUUUGGAUAAAUGGAAGGGAGCAAAGGCAUUCUCCCAGGGGACCAGCAUGAGCAAAGGUCCUGAGGCCAGACCGAAGAGGAAGGAGUGAAGGGGAGGGGUGGUCAGGGAGAAGAGAACCCAGAUUCAUACUGGAGAUCUGGGGAUUCGCGCACCCAGGGACACACUGGUUGCUAGGUCAGUGUGCAUUUCCCGAGUAUGCAAGGCCUAUAACAAAUACCAGAAAUGUUAGCACUUGUUUCAUUUAAGCGACAAUGGAGAAAGAAACUCUCAGGUUUAAAGGGGGGGGGGGGGGAGAAAGCCAAAACCAUAAGCAAAAAGACCCAGGGAGAGUUAAACCACAGAAAAUGUAGAGAGAAGCCGUGCUCAGGGAUUUAAUAAAAUUUCCACAUCUUAAAAGUGCACUGGGCGGGGUCUGGGAAGUGAAAGACGGAGUCAUUUGUACCAUCCUUUUCUCGCCCAGGAGAGCCAACUAAGCCACCCCAAACGUGGGCUUUGGCUGACGGAGGAAGCAGUGGGGGAGCUGCACCUGUGCAGGGCGCAAAUCUGACCUCUCCCCGCCCAGACCAAGGAGGGUGGCAGGAGAUGCACUCGGAGCUCAAGACCACCAGCUUCCCACCCUCUCUGGACGCCGCUCCCUCCCAAACUGCCCAGGGACAGACGGGGCUGAAGCCUGCCGUUCUGGGCUAGAGCCCCGUCCAGGAGCCCCAAGACUGGCCAUGGGAUUGGGGGGUGAGUCCCUGACCCCUCCCAGCCCUGGGCCCCCAUCCCUGAAACGAAGGGACGGGGCCCCUGGCACCUUGCAGCGGUGGCCGGGAGGGUGAAGUGAGACCAGGGCUCGGUCGGGGCACCGCUCUCCGUCCAGGCCGUUUGCUCACAGCACGAAUGAGAAAGUUGGAUGCGGCAGUGGCCAUGAGAGCAGGCUCCUAGUGACAAAGAAUGCUUCCUCUGCGAGACCCCUCGCAAGCAGCCUCUCCUGGGUCUCCCGGACUCCCAGCCCCACCAGGCCGCGUGUGAACCCCAGUGGGGGAGGCAAGAGCCAACCCACUUCCGAAGCUGUCCUGGGAGGCACCCCACGCAGGCUGUGGGAAAUGGCGCCCAUUUCCAGGGGGUCCACCCGACAGACUUACCCGCAAACUUGGGGACCCACGUGUGUGAGAUGGAGGCCUCGCGCCAACAAGAGAGAGACAGAGCAUGAACGGGGAGAGAUGGAGAC